UACACUAGGGGUGCUCUUGCGGGCUGAGAUGGAACGCUUUGUUCCGAUCCCUUACUACCCGAUCUAGAUAAUACUAGCGUGGGGAAGUGUAGUCAUC
rnacentral:ncRNA from 1 species